UAUCACCUACGGGGCGCAGCAGUAGGGAAUCUUCCACAAUGGGCGAAAGCCUGAUGGAGCAACGCCGCGUGGGUGAAGGAGGUCUUCGGAUCGUAAAACCCUGUUGUUAGAGAAGAAAGUGCGUGAGAGUAACUGUUCACGUUUCGACGGUAUCUAACCAGAAAGCCACGGCUAACUACGUGCCAGCAGCCGCGGUAAUACGUAGGUGGCAAGCGUUAUCCGGAUUUAUUGGGCGUAAAGGGAACGCAGGCGGGCUUUUAAGUCUGAUGUGAAAGACUUCGGCUUAAACGGAGGAGGGGAUUGGG
rnacentral:rRNA from 1 species